GACGAACGCUGGCGGCGUGCUUAACACAUGCAAGUCGAACGGAAAGGCCCUGCUUUUGUGGGGUGCUCGAGUGGCGAACGGGUGAGUAACACGUGAGUAACCUGCCCUUGACUUUGGGAUAACUUCAGGAAACUGGGGCUAAUACCGGAUAGGAGCUCCUGCUGCAUGGUGGGGGUUGGAAAGUUUCGGCGGUUGGGGAUGGACUCGCGGCUUAUCAGCUUGUUGGUGGGGUAGUGGCUUACCAAGGCUUUGACGGGUAGCCGGCCUGAGAGGGUGACCGGCCACAUUGGGACUGAGAUACGGCCCAGACUCCUGGGAGGCAGCAGUGGGGAAUAUUGCACAAUGGGCGGAAGCCUGAUGCAGCAACGCCGCGUGCGGGAUGACGGCCUUCGGGUUGUAAACCGCUUUCGCCUGUGACGAAGCGUGAGUGACGGUAAUGGGUAAAGAAGCACCGGCUAACUACGUG
rnacentral:rRNA from 1 species